GUCGCAACCCGCAUAUGUCAUCACUACCAGGCAAGCCGCGGGUCCCAUGUGAGCUGUUGAUUAACGGUGCGAAACGGACGAUCGAUCACUUACAGAACAGCAUGAAUAUCUUUCUGAUCCAACCCAGAGAUAAAACACCCUUCCUUCGCACAUAAUCGCCUGCCGCUGCGAACAACACUCCAGCGCCGAGUCUAGCCAUUAUGAAUCUGUCGCGAGUACCGAUUUCAUGUUGAAGCCGAGAACCUCCAGCGUGUAUUUGGGCCCGUUGGUAGCGAUGAAGUAUAUACCCCA